GUUGGCUGACCCUACAAUGGGGUAAGCCUAUAAUGGGGUGACCCUAUAGCUGAGUGACCCCAUGGUUGGGUCUCCCUAUGGCUGGAUUCCCCUUCAAUGGGGGUGACCCCAUGGUUGGGUCUCCCUAUGGUUGGCUGACCCUUCAAUGGGGUGACCCCACAGUUGGGUGCCCCUUCAGUGGGGUGACCCCAUAGUUGGGUCUCUCUAUGGUUGGAUAACCCUACAAUGGGGUUUACCCCAUAGUUGGGUCUCCCUAUGGUUGGCUGACCCUACAAUGGGGUAAGCCUAUAAUGGGGUGACCCUAUAGCAGAGAGACCCCAUGGUUGGGUGAUGACCCCACAAUUGGGUGCCCCUUCAAUGGGGUUUACCCCAUAGUUGGGUCUUCCUAUGGCUGGAUAACCCUACAAUGGGGUGACCCCAUAGGGGUUGGGUGCCCCUUCAAUGGGGUGACCCCAUAAUUGGGUCUCCCUAUGGCUGGAUAACCUUACAAUGGGGCGACCCUAUAGCACAGAGACCCCAUGGUUGGGUGCCCCCCUCACUGUGCCCAUGGAUUGUUGUGUCAUUGUAUCAUUGUGUCGUUGUAUCGUUGUGUCAUUGUAUCGUUGUAUCGUUGUAUCAUUGUAUCGUUGUAUCAUUGUAUCAUUGUAUUGUUGUGUUGUUGUAUCGCUGUAUCAUUGUGUUGUUGUGUCGUUGUGUUGUUGUAUCAUUGUAUCAUUGUAUCAUUGUGUCAUUGUAUCGUUGUGUCGUUGUAUCAUUGUGUUGUUGUGUUGUUGUAUUGUUGUGUUGUUGUGUCAUUGUAUCAUUGUAUCAUUGUGUCAUUGUAUCAUUGUAUCAUUGUGUCGUUGUGUUCUUGUAUCGUUGUGUUCUUGUGUUGUUGUGUCGUUGUAUCGUUGUGUUGUUGUAUCAUUGUAUCAUUGUAUCAUUGUGUCAUUGUGUCAUUGUAUCAUUGUAUCAUUGUAUCAUUGUGUCAUUGUAUCAUUGUAUCAUUGUGUUGUUGUAUCAUUGUAUCAUUGUAUCAUUGUGUUGUUGUGUUGUUGUAUCAUUGUAUCAUUGUAUCAUUGUAUCAUUGUAUUGUUGUGUCGUUGUGUUCUUGUAUCAUUGUGACGUUGUAUCAUUGUAUCAUUGUAUCGUUGUAUCGUUGUAUCGUUGUAUCGUAUCGUUGUAUCAUUGUAUCAUUGUGUUGUUGUGUCAUUGUAUCAUUGUGUUGUUGUAUCAUUGUGUUGUUGUGUUGUUGUAUCAUUGUGUCAUUGUAUCAUUGUGUCAUUGUAUCAUUGUGUCAUUGUGUCAUUGUGUCAUUGUGUCAUUGUAUCAUUGUGUCAUUGUAUCAUUGUGUCAUUGUGUCAUUGUAUCAUUGUGUUGUUGUAUCAUUGUGUCAUUGUAUCAUUGUGUCAUUGUAUCAUUGUAUCA
rnacentral:lncRNA from 1 species